CCUACGGGGGGCAGCAGUGGGGGAUAUUGCACAAUGGGGGAAACCCUGAUGCAGCGACGCCGCGUGGGUGAAGAAGUAUUUCGGUAUGUAAAGCCCUAUCAGCAGGGAAGAAAGAAGACGGUACCUGACUAAGAAGCCUCGGCUAACUACGUGCCAGCAGCCGCGGUAAUACGUAGGGGGCGAGCGUUAUCCGGAUUCACUGGGUGUAAAGGGAGCGUAGACGGCCGUGCAAGCCAGGAGUGAAAGCCCGGGGCCCAACCCCGGGACUGCUCUUGGAACUGUGCGGCUGGAGUGCGGGAGGGGCAGGCGGAAUUCCUGGUGUAGCGGUGAAAUGCGUAGAUAUCAGGAGGAACACCGGCGGCGAAGGCGGCCUGCUGGACCGCGACUGACGUUGAGGCUCGAAAGCGUGGGGAGCGAACAGGAUUAGAUACCCGUGUAGUC
rnacentral:rRNA from 1 species